GGGUGAGUAACACGUGAGUAACCUGCCUUUCAGAGGGGGACAACAUUUGGAAACGAAUGCUAAUACCGCAUAAGGCCACGGUACCGCAUGGUAGAGAGGUCAAAGGAGAAAUCCGCUGAAAGAUGGGCUCGCGUCCGAUUAGGUAGUUGGUGAGGUAACGGCCCACCAAGCCGACGAUCGGUAGCCGGACUGAGAGGUUGAACGGCCACAUUGGGACUGAGACACGGCCCAGACUCCUACGGGAGGCAGCAGUGGGGGAUAUUGCACAAUGGGGGAAACCCUGAUGCAGCGACGCCGCGUGGAGGAAGAAGGUCUUCGGAUUGUAAACUCCUGUCCGAGGGGACGAUAAUGACGGUACCCUUGGAGGAAGCACCGGCUAACUACGUGCCAGCAGCCGCGGUAAAACGUAGGGUGCAAGCGUUGUCCGGAAUUACUGGGUGUAAAGGGAGCGCAGGCGGACUGUCAAGUUGGGAGUGAAAACUACGGGCUCAACCCGUAACUUGCUUUCAAAACUGGCGGUCUUGAGUGGUGUAGAGGUAGGCGGAAUUCCCGGUGUAGCGGUGGAAUGCGUAGAUAUCGGGAGGAACACCAGUGGCGAAGGCGGCCUACUGGGCACUAACUGACGCUGAGGCUCGAAAGCAUGGGUAGCAAACAGGAUUAGAUACCCUGGUAGUCCAUGCCGUAAACGA
rnacentral:rRNA from 1 species